rnacentral:rRNA from 1 species
AACACAUGCAAGUCGAGGGGCAGCAUGAUCGAAGCUUGCUUGAUGAUGGCGACCGGCGCACGGGUGAGUAACGCGUAUCCAACCUUCCCUGUAGUAGAGAACUAGCCCGGCGAAAGUCGGAUUAAUGCUCUAUGUUGUAUUUCGAUGACAUCUGAAGAAUACCAAAGGUUUACCGCGUAUAGGAUGGGGAUGCGUCUGAUUAGGUUGUUGGCGGGGUAACGGCCCACCAAGCCUACGAUCAGUAGGGGUUCUGAGAGGAAGGUCCCCCACAUUGGAACUGAGACACGGUCCAAACUCCUACGGGAGGCAGCAGUGAGGAAUAUUGGUCAAUGGACGGAAGUCUGAACCAGCCAAGUAAGCGUGCAGGAUGACGGCCCUAUGGGUUGUAAACUGCUUUUAUAUAGGGAUAAAGUCGGGGACGUGUCCCCGUUUGUAGGUACUAUAUGAAUAAGGACCGGCUAAUUCCGUGCCAGCCGCGGC